rnacentral:rRNA from 1 species
AGAUUGAACGCUGGCGGCAUGCCUUACACAUGCAAGUCGAACGGCAGCACGGGGCAACCCUGGUGGCGAGUGGCGAACGGGUGAGUAACAUAUCGGAACGUGCCCUGGAGUGGGGGAUAACUAGUCGAAAGAUUAGCUAAUACCGCAUACGAUCUACGGAUGAAAGUGGGGGAUCGCAAGACCUCAUGCUCGUGGAGCGGCCGAUAUCUGAUUAGCUAGUUGGUGGGGUAAAGGCCUACCAAGGCAUCGAUCAGUAGCUGGUCUGAGAGGACGACCAGCCACACUGGGACUGAGACACGGCCCAGACUCCUACGGGAGCAGCAGUGGGGAAUUUGGACAAUGGGCGAAGACG